UAGGGAAUCUUCCACAAUGGACGAAAGUCUGAUGGAGCAAUGCCGCGUGAGUGAAGAAGGGUUUCGGCUCGUAAAACUCUGUUGUUAAAGAAGAACACCUUUGAGAGUAACUGUUCAAGGGUUGACGGUAUUUAACCAGAAAGCCACGGCUAACUACGUGCCAGCAGCCGCGGUAAUACGUAGGUGGCAAGCGUUGUCCGGAUUUAUUGGGCGUAAAGCGAGCGCAGGCGGUUUUUUAAGUCUGAUGUGAAAGCCUUCGGCUUAACCGGAGAAGUGCAUCGGAAACUGGGAGACUUGAGUGCAGAAGAGGACAGUGGAACUCCAUGUGUAGCGGUGGAAUGCGUAGAUAUAUGGAAGAACACCAGUGGCGAAGGCGGCUGUCUAGUCUGUAACUGACGCUGAGGCUCGAAAGCAUGGGUAGCGAACAGG
rnacentral:rRNA from 2 species